GAACCCAGUGGGGUAGAGCUCGAGAUCGCUUUCCCAGAGUCCUCUGCGCCGUGAAGAAGGGGCUCCGGGAGACUGGGGGCAUUUUGUGUUGGCUGGAGCCGGAGGAACAAGAUGGCGGCGUCGGCGGAGUGACAGGGGUUCCUCCGGGCGGGAGCCGGCGGCAGUGGUGGCAGCGGUAGCGCCGCCCUAACUUACCGUUCCCCUUUUCCAGCCCCGCGACACGUCGCCGCGAAAGCGAGUCAGCGGCGGCCGCCCAGAAGCAAGUGGCCCAGCCUAGUAAACGCGAGAACCCUCUCACAGACUGCGGCCUGGCAAAAAGAAACCUGACUGAGCGGCGGUGAUCAGGUUUCCUAGGCCGGUUCUGUGUUCUGUAACGCCGAGAAAAGACCUCCAUUUUCCGUUUCCUGACGCCCUCCUCAGCUUUGCUCCGUGGACCAGCCCCAGAGGCCCCAUCCUUCCCUCAUAGGUGUCGGGGCUUGGCCCCAGCCUUCCAUCUUCGUUUCUCAGGAUGGCGAGCAGCAGCGGCUCCAAGGCCGAGUUCAUUGUCGGAGGGAAAUAUAAACUGGUACGGAAGAUCGGUUCUGGCUCCUUUGGGGACAUUUAUCUGGCGAUCAACAUCACCAACGGCGAGGAAGUGGCAGUGAAGCUAGAAUCUCAGAAGGCCAGGCAUCCCCAGUUGCUGUACGAGAGCAAACUCUAUAAGAUUCUUCAAGGUGGGGUUGGCAUCCCCCACAUACGGUGGUAUGGUCAAGAAAAAGACUAUAAUGUGCUAGUCAUGGAUCUUCUCGGACCCAGCCUCGAAGACCUCUUCAAUUUCUGUUCAAGAAGGUUCACAAUGAAAACUGUACUUAUGUUAGCUGACCAGAUGAUCAGUAGAAUCGAAUAUGUGCAUACAAAGAAUUUUAUACACAGAGACAUUAAACCAGAUAACUUCCUAAUGGGUAUUGGGCGUCACUGUAAUAAGUGUUUAGAAUCUCCAGUGGGGAAGAGGAAAAGAAGCAUGACUGUUAGUACUUCUCAGGACCCAUCUUUCUCAGGAUUAAACCAGUUAUUCCUUAUUGAUUUUGGUUUGGCCAAAAAGUACAGAGACAACAGGACAAGGCAACACAUACCAUACAGAGAAGAUAAAAAUCUCACUGGCACUGCCCGAUACGCUAGCAUCAAUGCACAUCUUGGUAUUGAGCAGAGUCGCCGAGAUGACAUGGAGUCAUUAGGAUACGUUUUGAUGUAUUUCAAUAGAACCAGCCUGCCGUGGCAAGGACUAAAGGCUGCAACAAAGAAACAAAAAUAUGAAAAGAUUAGUGAAAAGAAGAUGUCCACUCCUGUUGAAGUUUUAUGUAAAGGGUUUCCUGCAGAAUUUGCUAUGUACUUAAACUAUUGUCGUGGGCUGCGCUUUGAGGAAGCCCCGGAUUACAUGUAUCUGAGGCAGCUAUUCCGCAUUCUUUUCAGGACCCUGAACCACCAAUAUGACUACACAUUUGAUUGGACGAUGUUAAAGCAGAAAGCAGCACAGCAGGCAGCCUCUUCCAGUGGGCAGGGUCAGCAGGCCCAAACCCCCACAGGCAAGCAAACUGACAAAACCAAGAGUAACAUGAAAGGUUAGUAGCCAAGAACCAAGUGACGUUACAGGGAAAAAAUUGAACACAAAAUUGGGUAAUUCAUUAAUUUCUAACAGUGUUAGAUCAAGGAGGUGGUUUUAAAAUACAUCAAAAAAUUUGGCUCUGUGUUUACAAAAAAAAAAAAAGACGUCCUUGGAAAAUUUGACUACUAACUUUAAACCCAAAUGUCCUUGUUCAUACAUAUAUGUAUAUGUAUUUGUAUAUACAUAUAUGUGUGUAUAUUAUAUCAUUUCUCUUGGGAUUUUGGGUCAUUUAUAACAACUGCAUCUUUUUUACUCAUUCAUUAACCUUUUCCAAAAUAAACAUUUGGUGUUGGGAAUAUGGUCAAUCAAUCCAAAAUCCUAGACCUAACACUUGUUGAUUUUAAGUAAUGAAUCUAGUUAGCCAUGGUAUUUUGACUUUCUUUCAGACUAACAGUGUUAAGUUUUUUGUUCGUUCUCCUGCAUGUUAACGCUUUAGCCUUUAGAAUUGAAAAUUGUGAAUAUGCUCUAAUUUCAAGAGGUGAGUCUGGCAUUAUCCCCAAAGUGUCUGUCUUCUCAGUUGCAGAGUGUUCCAAUUCCUCUCUUAAAUGCUCGAAGAACUGAAAAGCUCGAUACAUCUUUCCUAGUUACAAAAUAAAUCUCUUUUUUAGUUGCUGUUCAACUACACAUGUUCUUAAUUUCAAAAUGGUUCUCUUUUUGGCUCUUAAAUUUUUGAAACACUCAGGCUGUAACGGUCCUGUGUGGAAUUGAAAUCUGCAGUUAGGCCUUGCAAAUUGAAGAUACCUGGGGCAAAUGCCAUUGAACUGCAAGUCUGUUUCCUUUCUACUUUUCCUCAGGUAUUAGUGCUACUAAGAAGUAGAACUGUUAGGGCACAGCUCCAGUUCUUAUCACUGUUGCCAGACAGUUCCACUCCUCUGUUUCAUGCUUUUGUUUGCUAGUUUGUUUUUCUUUUCCCCUUUCUGGGGCUUACCUCCUGAUACUUGCCUACUUUCUGGAAAUGGUGGGCAAGUAAGGUUUGGUUUUUAGUUUCUAAUUAUUUAAUUGCUGAAUGACUGCUCUAGUCUGAACUUGGCCUUCAUAGAUUAAUCUUUGGUUCAUAUUUUUAGUGUUAUAUUUAAACAAUAAAAAGCAUUUUAAGAGAUUUAACUGAUGUCAUCCUCAUCCCAGCAGCUCAUCUAUUAGGCAUGAAGUUUAAAUGCUUCCCAUCCAUGUUUCUGUAUUUGGGAAAGAUUCAAAGUUUAAGGUUUGAUGUAGUGGGGAGUCUUAGACAAUGAAGUUUAAGCUUAGGAUAGCAAACGCUAAUGCUUGCCCAGUGCUCUGCAUCUCAGUUAAGACUUACUUGCCCCCUUUUGAGUCUUAUAAUCACUGUAUAAACAAUCAUAGUACCAAGAAGUUAUUAAUGAGCUAGGUGGCUAGUGUCCUUGAAAAAAUGGGCCUACCAUUUAGGUAAGACCAAGUAGAAGUCUAAACUGAAGAUUUGUUACACUUGACACGUAUAGGGUGUUUGCUUUUUCUCACAAAACAAAACCAAUUUUUGCUUAAAGCUAGCUGGGAUAGUAGGAUCAUCAUGAGUUGCAGUUUCUAGAACUGAAAUUAGAUUGAAAUCUCAUCUGACCUAGAACAUUUCACUUCAGGCAUUCAGCAGCCUUCAGAAAGAAUUACCUAAUUUUGAGCUAGUACCAUUGUUAGUUAACUGUGUGUCUCUUACUCAAUAAACAAGUAGAAUUUUUGUCCUGCCUUAUCCAGGUCUUAAAGAUGAGAAGUUGGAUCCACUGAGUUAGUAUGUUUCCUUGAAAAAAAAAAUAUAAUUAAACUUAAGUUUAAUCCUUAUUUUGUAUUGUAGCUAUUUUUCAUAAAAGCAACUUUCAGUCUUUUAAAGAUUUCAUAGUAUUAUUAGAUAUAAUGGUUAUACAAAUUAUUACAUAUACAUGGACUUAUAAAAUUUCUGAAAAGUUGGGCUUUCCAUAAAACACAUCACAUAAUCAUUAACUGAUUACUUUCAGAGAGAUAUUUCCUGGUGACAUGUUUUGACUAUAAGCAAAAUAUUGCUUGCUACAAAAACGUUCCACCCCCAGAAUAAAAAAAACAGUAUUUUCCUUUUGCUUUAUGCCUUCUUGAAAAUAACCGUAUUAUUUUGGAUGCAGAACCUAGUGCUCAAAACAAAUUUUAUGUGAAAGCCCUAUAUAUAAAGUCACAAAAGUGUAGCAGAUUUGAGGAUGACGUGAGAUAAGCAUGAGGAGCUGGUUCCCUCACCCUGUCAUCUGCAUUAUCCGUUAAGAAAUCUAGGAAAUUUGAAAACAACUGCUCUAGGUUAUUCCUGAUUCCAGUAUCUAAAUAUAAGGGUGUUUAAAAGCAUAUUCUUUUAAGGGUCCACCGCAGUAUUUUUUUUAAGGAAGAUUCAUGAUACAAUGAUCCCAAGAAAUCCUUUCAUUGAGAAUGAGAACACCAUAUCAAAUUUUUCUAGUUAAAAAUUUUAAAAGGUACUUUUUAUACAUUAUGUCACUCAUUCCUCACAGAGUUGUAUUUCAGAGAUUUACACAUCAGGGACAUUUCAUAAACUGACCUUCAGCAAGUAAAUCACUAUAUUGCAAGAAUAUCUAUGCUUGGAAAAAUUCUCCAAAUGGGGACACAUUCACUAAUGUAUUUAUUGUGGUUAUUUAAAAAAAAAAAAAACUAUAUCUAAUGUUCCUCGAUGGAAAACUAUAUUAAGUUGUUUUAUAGCAAUUCAUAGAAAAUAUCCAAACACUCUUUAGAGUGCUGACAUAAUCAGUUAACAUGGGCGUAUUAUGUAGUAGGCAAACUUCUGUCCUGAUUACUUUUCUUCAGAUCUUUUGAAAUACUCCAUUCCAAAGCCCGUCAAAAGACUAAGGAAGAAAACCAAAGUUUUUCUCCUAAUGCCCAUUAUUAGCUGUACUAGUAUUUCCGUGCCCAAGUACUACAAGAAUGUAAUUAUUAUUGUUUACAGUCAUGACAAGAGAAAAAUGUAAGAGUCCCAUCUGACAUACUUCCAAAUCCAUUUCACUCCCUUUUCUUCAAAUAUAUGUGAUUAUCACAAAAGUGCUUUUCAAGACUUUGUAAAGAAAGGAGAAAAUAUUUUUAGGACAUUCAGAAUCCAGUUAAGUUUACCAUUUUCUUUAUUUGAGGGAAGAGGGUGGGGGAAAUUUUAGAAGUUAGUAAAGCCAAAGAUAGAUCCUCACGUAAUUCUGUUAUUCUCUACUCUCAUCAUUUUAAUCCAUCCAUUCACUACCCUAGCCAUAUAAUUAAGUGUAGUUUUAUCGUAAUGAUAUAGAUGAAUGUCAGAUUGUUGGCAUUCAAAAGAGAUUAGAAAUAUUUUUCCAUUUCAUUAACCUGCCAUGUCCAUGGUCUUCCUUUAAUUACCUUCCAGUAUUUACUGGGCUUCACCUGCCAUUUAUGUCUAGCUUAACUUUUUCUGACUUCACCAAUUGCUGCUAGGAACGUGGCUGGUCACUCAGCAACGUAGCCCAAAUCACAGGGGAAGACCUUGAUAUACCUGGAGAGACUGAUCUGCUCUGAAUACACUCAAUCCAGAGAAGUGCCAGGGAGCCGCAUCUGCUUGCUGCAGUCUCCAGUUUUUGUCAUCUUUUUUCACUGUCGACAAAAAAGCUGGAUAGAAAAGAACUAAAUAACACAGCAGGAAAUGAAGAUGAAAAUGCAAGAGUUGGUUUAUUGUGAUCUGGAUGGAGCUCAUAUUUCCAAGGCUUGCUGGACCUGUCAAACUUUUCAACUUGUUGGAUCACUUGGGUGACACCACAGCAGUCAGAAGUCCUUGAAGAGUAUAGUGUUGCUGUGACUCAGUGAUGUAUAAUGCAGACCAUCUACCGGUUGGGGAAGGAAUCAGUUGUAACAGGAACAAAGGGAUUUAUCUCAUAUUUUGGCUGAUGUUACAGUGAAGAUGGGUUCUUGUACUUUCAGAAACCAGGAGACAUCACCCAGACUGCGAGAUAAAAACCACGAACUAAUGCAUACUGAGGAAAAGAGUGCUUAGUACUUGAAGAUUGAAUGUUGAAUACCUGCUGAAUGUUCAUAUUGAGGUUUUUUCCUAAACAAACUUCAGUAACAUCUUAGGACAAUUCACUUGGAGAAAAAUUGAUCCCUGGGUGGAAUAUCCUACCAUUGGCCCAUCUGAAGCGUUAAAUCUGGAUUUGACUGGUCCGUUCUACCAGGAACAUUGUCAGGCUAGCCAUUAACCAACCUCUCAACGAUUGUAAUCAUUAAUUAACCCAGCAGUUCCUCAAAUAUCGGAUUAAAAGUUGAACAUACGUAAUCCUUAUCUAAAGCUUCCCUGUUAAAGACACAGAGUUUCCUAGUAUAUUGACUGACAGUAUAGUUAAUGCUAUUUAGUUUGUUAGUGGUAGUGGUUUUCCAUUUUUUAAGCCCUGUUUGGUUUAUUCACUGGAAUGAAUUAUUCAAUAUAAUGUAUUUCCGUUUGCCAUGAAAACCCAGCAAUUUUAGUAUUUGUGAAAAGAUUUCUUCUUUUUAUCAUGUGUAAGUAUAAUUGCAGAACUUGAAACCAAAUGCUGACUGGAGUAAGGGUCCUUUCCAUUUAGCUAAUCCAUAGUUUCUUAACCUGCUUUAAAAUAUCCUGUAUUUUAAAAUUGGAAUUAGGUCACAGAGUAUGAUCACAACUUAAUUGGGGUUUGAUUUGACAGCCUUUGUUUUGGUACAUUCACCUUGCUAAUCCUAUUUAAUAAUAUACAUCAAAUAGUAUUCCCUAUGGUGAAGUAUAUUCUGAGAAAGUUUCAUUAUCUUUCACUUUUGGCAUUUGCUUCUUAGGAACUUAGUACUCAGCCAGCAAAGAUCUAUUCUGCAUCUACUCUGUAGUCAAGACACUAUGAGGAGACAGAGAAGUACAGCACUCCGAGCUUAUACCAUAUGCUUAUUAAACGAAUGAAGAUGACUGUUUCUACUCUCAAAUGAAAAAACUCCUAAUUAAUGAGUGAGAGAAUAUUUUCCAAAAAUGAUAUAGUGUUUGGCAUUAUCUUUGAAAAAAACAAAGGUAUACAUGCAUAAAAAGAAAAUAAUCCAAGUAUUUUAUUUAUCCCACAAAGGCCAUACAUUUGAGAAGUGAAAGAAUAAGGGCAGUUCAUGAUUGAAAAGCAUGGUUUGUGCUAAAAAAAAAAAUAAUGAGGAGAGACCUGGGCUAGUAUGAGGUAUGAUUAGGUAGGCUAUAAGGGUGAACAAAGAUACAGAUGCCUCUAAGGAAGAGUAGCUGUGGGUGACAAAAGGUGCUUAUGGUGUGUUCAUGUUAUUGUUGAGAGACGUUUCCUCUCUUUGCUCUUAACCAUAGGUAAAACAAGCAGCUAUUAUGACCCAAAGCCUUCUUAUAUCCAAACCUGCCUUUAUGCAGAAGUUCUAGGGCCUAUUUGUAGGGGCAGGGAGAGGUGUGUGUAUGCUACAUGGAGGGAAAACUUGAGACUUAAAGCCUAAAAAGCAUCACUUGUUUACAUUUUUAAAUCAGUAACAAAACUUAACCUUUGUAAUGAUCUGAUAGAAGUCAAGAAUUUUUGAAGCUCUGAAGUUUCUGUGUAGAAAUCAUAGACUUACCAUUUACUUUUAAUUGAACACGUUUAUUACAGCUUAACAUUCCUUAUUUGUAUCAGGAAUAAUGUUCAUGGAAGUUCCUCCACAUAGUAUGAUUAUACUCUCUCUAGUUGUUAAACAGCAAGGCAAUCUUACUUUUCAUCCAUUCAACAAAUAUUUGAACACAUUAUAAUAUGUUUUAGGUGAUAGAAAUACAGAAGUGAACAUAACGGGCUCAUUUGAAUUACCAGCAGUUCUCUAGCUUGAGAAUUGUAUGCUGACUCGGAGGCUUUAACUAACUGUACAACCACUCCUACCUAGUCAUGUGAAACAGAAAACUUUGUUUUCUUUAUAGAUUUAUGUUUUUGUUUUAAACAGUUGAGCUAAUGAUUUUCAAAGAGAUGAAAAAGAACGUGAGUCACUGUUAUAAAAUAAUUAUUGGCCCAUUUCAACGCAAUUUUUCUACUUCGGGUAUACUUUUAAAAUUUUAUUUUCACCUUGGAAUUUAACAUUCAUUUUUCUGUCUUUUUGUUAGGUUUCUAAGCAUGAAUUGAAGAACAAAAGAAGCAGAGCAGAUGAUCGGAGCAGCAUUUGUUUCUCCCCAAAUCUAGAAAUUUUAGUCCAUAUGUACACUAGCCAGUGGUUGUGGACAACCAUUUACUUGGUGUAACGAACUUAAUUUCAGUAUCAACUGGCUCUGGGCAGCACUGGUGAUGCUGUGUUCUGAGUUGUAGCCGCUGUAAUUUGUGAAUAUUAACUGAGAUAGUGAAACAUGGUGUCCAGUUUUCUAUUGCAUUUUUUCAAGUGGAAAAGUUAACUAAAUGGUUGACACACAAAUUGGUGGAGAAAUUGUGCAUAUGCCAAUUGUUUUGUUAAAACCUUUUGAACUGUACUGCUUUGAGAUGUCAUUUCAGAAGAACGGCAUGAACAGUCUUCAGCCACAGUUGUGAUGGUUGUAAAUGCUCAACAAUUGUGCAUUCUUAGGGUUUUUCCAUCCCUGGGGUUGCAAGUUGUUUACUUAAAACAUUCUCAAAAUGAUUGGCUUCUUGUUUGCAAGCCAGCUGAUAUGGUAGCAACCAAAGAUUCCAGUGUUUGAGCAUAUGAAAGACUCUGCCUGCUUACCUGUGCUAGAAUAACAGCAUCUAAAGUGAAGACUUAAGAAAAACUUAGUGACUACUAGAUUAUCUUUAGGACUCUGCAUUAACUCUAUAAUGUUCUUGGUAUUAAAGAGAAAAACAUAUUUGUCACAGAAUUAGUUACCAUCUUACAACUGAACAUGUAUGUAUGUUGCUUAGAUAAAUGUAAUCACUGUAAACAUCUA